rnacentral:lncRNA from 1 species
UUCCUCCCGUGCUCAUCUGGUGCACUGAGAAUGGACUAAUGCAGGGACCACAGCAGCACCAGCUCCGGGUUAUCAGCAGCAGCACAAGGACCAAGCCCAGAAGCCACGAACCCCUCCUGCUCUGCAUCAGGCCCAUCCCUACAGCCAGCUAUGUGACUGCCUGCCUGGGUGCAGAGUCUGUGGCCACAUCCCUACCGGGUGCCUCUGAGGAACUCCCAGGCCAAUGGCCAUGCAGGCAGCCUCCUGGGAAGACUUGGAUUUCGGAGGGUGCAGAAGGAGAGGGCAGAUGGAAACAGAAAGUUAGAGGUGAUUAAAGGUAAAAGUGAUGACUUUGGGCAAGUCCUGGGCUGCUGAACAGUAGCGGUGCCAGGUCAUCUGGUUCAGAGCGGAGCUGACCCAGAAACACCACUCAUCACACAAUCACAGGAAUACGUUUCCGUGUUCUUCUGUGAGCGGUUCAUCAGGGAGGCUGGCAAGAUGGUCAGGAUAAGCACAUGGAAUCUAGCCCAAAGUCGUCUGGCCGUGGGUCAGUCUGGGCCUAGAGGACCCAGGAGUCCAGACACCUGGAGUUUGGAGAGGUAAGCCACUUGGUGGCGCUGUGAGCAUGAAAAGCGGGCUCUGUAGCCAAUAAGCCUUUUGCAAGACUGGAGGUGUGACUUGGAGACUGUCUAAGGGGCAAUGUAAAAAGCUCAGCCUACAUCCGGACCCCGGCUGGAAACAAAUACGGACAUAGAGAGGUCCUGCGAGACACCAGGAGGCAGACAAG